rnacentral:lncRNA from 1 species
GCUUUCGAUUGUUGGAUUCCCGUUAAAGGCCCUAUAUAUUUGAUACGGAUGCUCCCAAAGACUUCCGUUAGCUAUUCAGCAACGAUAAAGUCCGAGAAUAAACUGGACCCCUGCUUUUGUUUCACUCUUAUCGUUAGCCGAAGUAUCAAUCAGCAGGUGACCAGUUUAGUCCGAGAACUCGUGUGUACAAUGACGUUCCGGUAUUCAACUAACCAUUCAACUACGGAAUCGUCAUUUGACAGCGACUGCGAACCUGAAUUAGACAGUGAAUUAUAGAUGAGAAAAUAAUUAUCAAAAGCAAAAUCUUUUUAUGUCGGACAUCUCACAACGACGAGCGUGAUUGACGGAGUGGCGUUUCAUUUACUACAAAAAUGAAGCAAAACGUUUAUCAUCAUCUACUUAUAUUUUUUACAUUUACAUCUAAAUCAACACAAAAAUAAAUUGUCACCUAUAAUCCCUUGUCAGUAAGUGCCAAAAUUAUUUUGGUUUCGACUUCCGUUUACCUCUAUAAUCCGAACACCUGUGUAAACCGAACAAAACGCAAAGUCCCGUGGGUGUUCGGUUUGGACAGGUUCCACUGUACUAUU